UCUUUCCACAGACAUCACCCUGGUCACC
rnacentral:piRNA from 1 species